UACAAUUUAUAGGGUUUUCAGAAUGAAUGUCCACGCUACUUAUUUGUAUAUCAUUUACCAAAUUCUUAGAUGACAACUUACUACUAGAUACGGACCCAUAUAGCAUCUCUAUACAAUGUCUCAACUUGGACUUCAGAAUACCCUCAAACAGUUUUCAGAUCUAUAGAAGACAAUGAGAGAGCCACUUGUCUGGGGCCAGUAGGAGUAAUCAACAUCUGUAUCUAAACAGUCUCAAAAGAUCUGAGGUUUUUGUUCAAGGCCCUUCUCUUAAAGCUUCCACCUGGAAUUGACACACUCGAGUCUGUUUGUGCUUUUGGCCAAAGCAAUUCAUAAACUCAGGCCACUUGGGUUUAACAGGACCGAAAGGUAUAAUAUUCCGUUAGGGAUAUGAACUGAAUAUUGGUGAAUAUGAAUACGUCUACAACAAUUAACUGCAAGAAGACUUUAAAGCUGAGUGAAUGUAUAAAGUUUCUUUGUUUUUUAUUGGAAUCAUAUCAA